CCUGACCUCGUGAUCCGCUCGCCUCGGCCUCCCAAAGUGCUGGGAUUACAGACGUGAGCCACUACACCUGGCCUAUUUUUUAUUUUUUAUAGGGACGAGGUCUCACUAUGUUGCCCAAGCUGGUCUAGAGUGAUCCUUCCACCUUAGCCUCCCAAAGUGCUGGGAUUACAGGCAUGAGCCACCACGGCCAGCCAACAAACAGAAAUGCUUCAGACCAGAGGAAAAUGAUCUCCAGUGGAAUCCCAGUGCUGCACCAAGAAAUAAAGAACGCCUGGGAAAGUGGCUAUAUCAAACUGAUCACAGGCUGCUACUUCAUUUGCGUGGAGUGUACACCAAGUGGCCAAUGGAGAACCUCUAAGGGGUACUGGACCCCAGAAGAUUCUGUAACCACGGCCCUCGAGCUGCUACUUGGGCGCCCCCACCCUGUGGAGUGUACUU
rnacentral:lncRNA from 10 species